UUGACAGAAGAGAGAGAGCACA
rnacentral:miRNA from 1 species